rnacentral:rRNA from 2 species
AGCUACAUAUUAAAGAGAUUUAUUUAUAUAAAUAGGCUUGCUAGCUGAUUGUAUAUAUAUGCUGGCCGUAUUUCAUAGCAAGCUCGCUUUUAAUAGGCAACCAGUAAUAUGAGCAAUUCUUUACCUACAAGCCUAUAAUUAUAUUAACUCUAAGAGAAAUCUAAUAAUAAACGGAGUGAAUUGAAAUAUCUUAUUAACUUCAGGAAAAGAAAUCAAAAGAGAUUCUAUGAUUAGCGUGAGCUAAAAUAGAGUAGCCUAGAAAGUCAAAUGGUGGAUAAACUGUUUAAAUUUAAUGGGGAACCUUCCUCAAAGGCUAAAUAUAAUAUGUAAGCGAUAGUGGAAAGUACCGUGAGGGAACCAAAACAAAAACAGUGAUUUUAUAAGCAGUUCGGAAAAAUAAAAAAGUUAGAACGUACCUUUUGCAUAAUGGGUCACCAAGUUAACAUUAGAUGCGAGAUUCUACGUAGUUAAACCGAGCGUUAAAAUAACGGUAAGUGUCUAAAGUUAGACCCGAAGCCUGGUGAUUUUACCAUAAUCAGGAUUAUAAAAGUCCGAACGGAAUAUUGUAGCAUAAAUAUCCGAAGAAUUAUGGUAGGUGUAGUGAAAGACAAUACUGACCAGGAUAGCUGGUUUUCUGCGAAACCUAUAACAGUAGGCAAUUUAAGUAUAAUAUCUUAGCAGGUACAGAAUUUAAUCUCAGACAAGACAUAAGGCUUAACUUGUUAACAAGUUAAGCCCAUGUUUUAUUUUGUACAAAUUGGGGGAUCAUGAAGAUUUUAUCAGUGAGUAUGUAGACUCGGAAUGGCAAAGAUAUAUCUUAAAUCAUCAGACAUAGAAUGAUAAGGUUGUAUGUCAAAAGGGAAACAGCCCAGAACAAGAGUUAAGGUUCCUAAAUUAUUAGUUGAGUGAAAUUAAGAAGGUUUUUAUUAAAGUCGACAAGGAGAUAGGCUUAGAAGCAGCCAUAAUUUUAUGACCUCGUAACAGAGCGCUUGUUAAGUUUUAAAAGCAUCGAAAAUUUAUCGGAUCUAAACAAUAUACCGAAACCUUGUCCAUAUUAUUUUAUAAUUAAUAGUCUCAGCAAGCUCGGACUAUACAAUUAUAAUUAAAUGGGGUAGCAGAACGUUGAGCUAAAUUAAGAUUUUUAUUUUUUAAAUGAAAUUAUAAUAAUUUAACUCAAGUGAUAAUGGUGACAUGAGUAACUAAAAGAAAAUUUUCCGCCUAAAGCUUAUGGAUGUAAUUAAGUAACGGCCUCUAAGUUUAUGGAAUCAAAAGAUUAAAACGAUGAGACAAUCUUUCAUACUAAGGACGACAUUUUAAGUGCAAAAUGUACUGGAAAAAUAGUAAUAAGUUUAAGCUAUGGCUAGAACUAGCUAUAGCUGUAAAUGGAAAGUAACCGUACCUAGAAUCUGAAACAAGUAAGCUAGUAGAGAAUACGAAGGCGUAAAUGAGCUAACAAUCAUAAAGGAACUCGGCAAAUUGACUACCGUAACUUCGGGAUAAGGAGAGCUCAUUAUUCUUGAUUAAUAUCAGGUAAAGAGGAAGAAGCAUGAAAUAGUGUUGUACGACUGUUUAAUUAAAACACAGCACUUUGCUGAAAGAUUAAAAAUCUAAGUAUAGAGUGUGAUGUCUGCCCGGUGCCGGCUGGUUAACAGAUAUAAUUAAAUAUACUAAUAUUUGAUGUAGACGGAAACCCCGGUUAAAGGCGGCCUUAACGUGAGGGUCCUAAGGUAGCGAAAUGCCUUGGCCGUUAAAUGCGGUCUUGCAUGAAUGAUGUAACGAUACAACAGCUGUCUCUAUGAUUGACUCAGUGAAAUUGGAAUAGCUGUGCAGAUACAGUUUACCUCUAGUUAGACGAGAAGACCCUAUGCAGCUUUACUGUCACUAAUUAUAGAGUAUGAUAAACAAUUUUCAGUUUAUAAGGUAAUUGACGGCCGGCUUGCUUAGCAAGCUGGCUCUAUGACAAUGAGAAUCCUUUAUUUUUUUUUCAUAUGAAUGAAUUGGUUUAGGACGAGCUUAAGCUCGUAGUAAAUCAACCUAAUUCAGCUUAUUUUCCUUUCUGCUGUAAGCGCAUAAUGAUAGAUUAUACUUAAAUUUGGAUUUAUGCCUGCAGAAAUAGAUAAGUACCCUUGGUUAAGGAACUAUCGCUAGGGGACAGUUUAUGUGGGGCACAGACCCUGUAAAGAGUAAACAGGAGUGUCUAAUAAUUUAUAAUUAUUUUGUUUGCGAUUUAAGGUAGUAGAACUAUUUUUAAUCAUAUAAAAUUAUUUAUAUGUACAUUCGUUGUAUAUAUAUUUAAAAAAAGGUAGGAUUUUCACUAUAUAGAAAUUAGAGAUAAUAAAAAUAUUAAGUAGUAGCUGCUGAGUCCUAAUCCCGCCGAAGGGGGGGAUAUGGACUACUAUGUAUUUCAUAGCAAGCUCGCACUAAUAUUUUUUAACUAUUAAGACUGGCUAUCUAGCUAUGCUCUAAUAGUUAUGUUUUAAUUAUCUAAAAAGCUCAACGGCUAAAUCUUGCCUUACUGUUUGAUUAUCAACAAAUCUUACAGUUGCGUAAGCAGGGCAUAGGAUCACAAGAUGCAACAAGGAAAGAUCUUGGAUUAUUGGAAAAGCUACGCUAGGGAUAACAGGCUAAUUUGCGCAAGAGUGUACAAAAUGAGUGCGCGGUUUGGCACCUCGAUGUCGGCUUAACUUAUCCUCAUGGAUGCAGGAACUAUGUAGGGUGCGACUGUUCGUCGAUUAAAAAGUUACAUGAGCUGGGUUAAAUACGUCGUGAGACAGUAUGGUUUCUAUCUUCUAGGGGGAAUUAGAAUAUAAUAAGAACUAACUUUUGUACGAAAGGAACAAGAAGAAUUUAAUUUGUAAAAGGGUUAAAUAAUAGUUACUAACCUAUGGUUUACCUGUUGUCUAUGUGCCCAAAUAUUAAAAUAUAGGAUAAAAAUUCUAUAUAUCUGUAUAGCUUUAGCUAUACAUAGGGAUGUUUCUUUCACUAAGAUAAAUAUAUAGCAUAGGCACGGCAGGAAAGCUAAGUUGGUUAAGGAUAAGUGCUGAAAGCAUAUAGGCACGAAGCUUAUCUUAAGAUAUUUCUUAAAUAUACGUAAAAUAUUAUUACGAAGGAUUAAUAUAGGCUUUAUCCGUACGAAUCUGGAGAUUUUUAAGAAUAAAGUACUAAUUUUAUAAAUAACUAUUUAU